GGAAUAACUUAGAGCAGAAAUAGUAAUUAAAGAUAAGUUAUUAGAGAGCCUUUGUUGAUGAGAAUAAGGUAACUACUUUAAUGAAAUCACAUCUGUGAGUUGAUUUUCUGAAGUUAGUAGGAGAAUCCGGGAUAUAGCCCGUUACAGCUAAAGGUUUAUUAAUAAACUUAGUGAGGCAGUUAACGUGAGUUGACCGUGAACAUGAGGUGGAAGCACGAUUGAUUCGCCCUCGUAGCCAAUUGGCUAUGGGGGCUUUUAUUUUUGUUAAUAAACUUAGUGAGACAGAUAAUGUGAGUUAUCUGUGAAUAUGGGGUGGAACCACGGUUGAUCGUCCUCUUA
rnacentral:ncRNA from 1 species